GCGAACCUGAAAACAGCACUAGCAGGCGCGGCGAAUUGUCUCUCAAAAACCAUUGGUCUCGCAGAAUUUCCCUUGAAUUUCACGCGUCUCGCAGUCUCGUUUUUUAGCUGUUAUGUGCGUCUCGCACUCUCGAUCUUUUCACAAAGCUGUCUUGGAGUCUCGCUUUUUGCAAGGCUCUUUGAAGGUCUCAAAGUUCCGAUUUUUUUGUUUGCUUAAUGAACGUCUCGCGCUCGCAUUUUAAAUACUUUGAGGUCUCGGUCUAGCAAUUUAAAAAAAAGUCGAAAUGAUUCGGGUUUGAACAACAAAAACGCUAGUUUUGCCUUUUCGCUAAGCUGCGCACUUACCAUUUACCACCCCUAAUAGCACACAGUGUAUGGCACAAAAAAGAAUGAGUUUGCCAAACGCUUAUUGUGCCCCAGCUCCAUUUGCCACCGUGUGAAAGGCAUCUGCAAAGUGAGUUAUAGUACGCUUAUUUUGUGUGAUUUCAGGCGACAUAUUAUGAAGGAGAAAGGCUUCCCUUUGAUCGAGAGUCUAAUGUCUGAUGAACAUGACAUGGUCAAGAGAGCCGCCACUGAAUGCAUGUGUAACAUGGCGCUCUGUGAGUAGGUAUUCAAAAUGUACGAGAAAGAAGACGCCCCCACUGAACGAGUGAAGCUACUGACUCUACUGUCAGGCGAGGAGGACUUUGAGCUGUCGCGG